rnacentral:rRNA from 1 species
AAUGGCCUAACGGCUGAACCAGCAAUUUGGAAGAAUUAGGUAGAUGUGAUUAUUAAUUAAUCAUCCAGAGCACUGGCCCGAACGUUGUUUAUUUUUAGGGAGAAAAGAACAACAAGUAAGCGAGCGAUUUAUAUAUAUACCUAAACGAGAAAUUCGUAGAAUGUUCUAGAUAAAGAAUAAUAAUGACCAUUUUUAUCUAUAAGUCUUGGCCAAAUUACGUGCCAGCAGUCGCGGUAAUACGUAGAAGACUAGUGUUAUUCAUCUUUAAUCGGUUUAAAGGGUACCUAGACGGAAAAUCAAGCCUUAGUCGGUACUAAUUUUCUAGAGUUUUAUGGAAGAAUGUCGAAUUUCUAGAGGAGAGUCAAAAUUCAUUGAUACUAGGAAGACGGGUAACAGCGAAGGCGUCAUUCUAUGUAAAAACUGACGUUGAGGAACGAAGCCUUGGGUAGCGAUAAGGAUUAGAUACCCUAGUAGUCCAAGGAGAAAAUAAUGAGUGCCAUAGACUAGUUAAUUUUAGUUUAUAAAUGAAAGUGUAAGCAUUCCACCUCAUGAGUAAAGCGGCAACGCCGAAAUUGAAAUCAUUAGACCGUGUCUGAAACCAGUAGUGAAGUAUGUUAUUUAAUUCGAUAAUCCGCGAAUAACCUUACCACGUUUUGAAUAUUUUAUUUUUAAUAUCUUACAAGCGCUGCACGGCUGUCUUCAGUUAAUGUCGUGAGAUUUUGGUUCGUUCCUUUAAUUAACGAAAUCCCCUGUUUUAAUUUCUAUUUAAAGCAACUUACCGCUAGAUUUGGUAGGUCAAGAGGGAACAAGACAAGUCACCAUGGCCUUAAUAACG